GAGGAUUUGAUCAUCAGUAGCAUCACUACUCAGAUCAUCCUUUUGCUGCUCCAUGAAUAGCUGAACCUUGUCAUUCAAAUUCCCUAGUCCCACAGCAGGUGAGUCUUUUCCUGCUAAUACUUGAUGAUCAGUAGCAUCCUUCUGCUCCUCUGCGUACUCCUGAACCUUGUCAUUUGACUUCACUAAAGCCACAGCAGGUGACUCUUCUCCUUUCAGAUCUUGAAGAUCAGUAGCAUCACAGUUCAGAACAUCCUUCCGCUCCUUAGUGUUCUCCUGAACCUUGUCAUUCAAAUUUACAAGUUCCACAGCAGGUGACUCUGUUUCGUUUAGUCCUUGAUGAGUCGUAACAUCAUCACUCAC
rnacentral:lncRNA from 1 species